rnacentral:ncRNA from 1 species
AGGGAAUCUGGUGCAACUCCAGAGCUGGCCCGCAACUGUAACCGGGGAGUCUACCUCAUAGGUCACGGCGUCUUUGACGCUGGAAGGCGAGGAUAGAUGCUGAUUCGGAAGUCAGGAUACCU